rnacentral:lncRNA from 1 species
CUGAGAUCCAAGGAGCAGCAGAGACUUGUAUGCCUCUACAGCAGGUGACUCACCCAGGCUUGCUCAGAGAGGAGUCACCAGAGCAAAGUUACCCUCAUUCUCCUGGCUUUUCUCCAUUCUACUUUCCUAAGGGGAGAAAGUCACACGGACUUGGCCCACAGUCUUCCCAGAAUCCAGCUCCCCAUAGAUUGUCAGUGCUUGUGGUGUCAAUAACUGGGCCUCCUUGGUCACAGUUUAUGGAUCCUGGCCAACCACUCUAACCUUGGUCAAAGAUCAUGGGAAAACCAGGACAGGUGGGAUAGGCAAGUGUCCUACAGCUGAGGUCUAACACAGGUUCGCCCUUGAGCCCUGGCUCUGGCUAACUUGAUCUCAUCUCUGUCACCAGUUGUCAGCAGGAACCAUAGGCCUUGUACACACAGCUCGGGAGAGUCAAAGGAUCCCAGGUCUCCUCCCUGGAGCUGGCUUCCAUGAGUGUGCCUGCCCUCAGAACUUCUUCCAACGUGGCCAUGUCCCCAAGCCCUGGACAUUUGUGACUGCCAUCUGCUUACAUUCCACUGCCUCCUUUCCUGCAUUUAACUACUUAAGUCUGAACAACUUCUGGGUUUGGUAAGAUCCACUAUUUGAGAAAAGAGUAUCCCAGAAAUGGCACUGAACUUACUCUGUAGAACAGGCUGCCCCCUCUCCCCCAUUCCAGAUCUGCCUACCUCUGCCUCCCGGGUGCCGGGACUGAAUGUGUGCACCUCCACAUCUCACUAUUUCAAUUGUUUUUGUUUGUUUUUUUAAGGGACACUAGCUGGGAGAGGUGGGGCCUUUAAUCCCAGCGUUGGGGAAACAGAGCUAGAGGGAUCCCCAUGAGUCCAAGGCUACCCUGGUUUAUAUAGAUAGCACUUGCCAAGUCUACACAGUGAGACCUUGUCUCAAAAAGAGAGGGGGUACCACUAACACCCACCUGGAGGUUCUGAAGUAAAUGAAGCUUAUGUGGAAGGUCAGUUUGUGGGGUGCUGAAGGAUUUUAGAUUUCCCCCAAGUUUCCUUCACAGUUCCGUUCCCUAACAUCCCAGGCUUGGUCCUGCUUCUCCCUUGUGAGCUGCUAAUUGGCUGCCAAUAAGGUACUAGCUGUCGGUUUCCUAACGUAUCUGGAUCAAGCUUGGAG